AUUGAACGCUGGCGGCAUGCUUUACACAUGCAAGUCGAACGGCAGCGCGGGGGCAACCCUGGCGGCGAGUGGCGAACGGGUGAGUAAUGUAUCGGAACGUAUCCUGUAAUGGGGGAUAACCAGUCGAAAGAUUGGGUAAUACCGCAUACGCACGAGAGUGGAAAGUAGGGGAUCGCAAGACCUUACGUUAUAGGAGCGGCCGAUAUCUGAUUAGCUAGUUGGUGGGGUAAAGGCCUACCAAGGCGACGAUCAGUAGCUGGUCUGAGAGGACGACCAGCCACACUGGGACUGAGACACGGCCCAGACUCCUACGGGAGGCAGCAGUGGGGAAUUUUGGACAAUGGGCGAAAGCCUGAUCCAGCCAUGCCGCGUGCAGGAUGAAGGCCUUCGGGUUGUAACUAGUCUUUGUUACGGAACGGAAAAGGUACGUUUUACUUAAUUAAAGAAAGGACUCAUGACGGUACCGUAAGAAUAAGACACCGGCUAACUACGUAGUCCAGCAGCCGCGGUAUAUCUACG
rnacentral:rRNA from 1 species